rnacentral:rRNA from 1 species
AGUCGUAACUCCGGGAAACCGGGGCUAAUACCGGAUAAUAAGAGAAGAAGCAUUUCUUCUUCUUGAAAGUCGGUUUCGGCUGACACUUACAGAUGAGCCCGCGGCGCAUUAGCUAGUUGGUGAGGUAACGGCUCACCAAGGCGACGAUGCGUAGCCGACCUGAGAGGGUGAUCGGCCACACUGGGACUGAGACACGGCCCAGACUCCUACGGGAGGCAGCAGUAGGGAAUCUUCGGCAAUGGGCGAAAGCCUGACCGAGCAACGCCGCGUGAGCGAUGAAGGCCUUCGGGUCGUAUAGCUCUGUUGUUAGAGAAGAACAAGUACGAGAGUAACUGCUCGUACCUUGACGGUACCUAACCAGAAAGCCACGGCUAACUACGUGCCAGCAGCCGCGGUAAUACGUAGGUGGCAAGCGUUAUCCGGAAUUAUUGGGCGUAAAGCGCGCGCAGGCGGUCUCUUAAGUCUGAUGUGAAAGCCCACGGCUCAACCGUGGAGGGUGAUUGGAAACUGGGAGGGGUGAGUGCAGGAGAGAUUAGUGGAAUUCCACGUGUAGCGGUGAAAUGCGUAGAGAUGUGGAGGAACACCAGUGGCGAAGGCGGCUCCUUGGCCUGUAACUGACGCUGAGGCGCGAAAGCGUGGGGAGCAAACAGGAUUAGAUACCCUGGUAGUCCACGCCGUAAACGAUGAGUGCUAGGUGUUGGGGGGUUCCACCCUCAGUGCUGAAGUUAACACAUUAAGCACUCCGCCUGGGGAGUACGACCGCAAGGUUGAAACUCAAAGGAAUUGACGGGGGCCCGCACAAGCAGUGGAGCAUGUGGUUUAAUUCGAAGCAACGCGAAGAACCUUACCAGGUUCUGACAUCCUUUGACCACUCUAGAGAUAGAGCUUUCCAAUUCGGGGGACAAAGUGACAGGUGGUGCAUGGUUGUCGUCAGCUCGUGUCGUGAGAUGUUGGGUUAAGUCCCGCAACCCCCGCAACCCUUGACCUUAGUUGCCAGCAUUCAGUUGGGCACUCUAAGGUGACUGCCGGUGACAAACCGGAGGAAGGUGAAUAUGACGUCAAAUCAUCAUGGGGCUUAUGACCUGGGCUACACACGUGCUACAAUGGAUGAUACAAAGGGUUGCGAAGCCGCGAGGCCAAGCCAAUCCCAAAAAGUCAUUCUCAGUUCGGAUUGUAGGCUGCAACUCGCCUACAUGAAGCCGGAAUUGCUAGUAAUCGCGGGGG